GAUCCUGGCUCAGAACGAACGCUGGCGGCGUGGAUUAGGCAUGCAAGUCGAACGAGAUUUCCACUUCGGUGGAAUGAGAGUGGCGAAAGGGUGAGGAACACAUGGGUAACCUGCCUCAUAGUUUGGAAUAACCGACCGAAAGGUUGGCUAAUACCGAAUAAGACUACGACACCUGCGGGUGAUGUAGUAAAAGAUGGCCUCUAUUUAUAAGCUAUCACUAAGAGAUGGGCCCGUGUCCUAUUAGUUUGUUGGUGGGGUAAAGGCCUACCAAGGCGAUGAUGGGUAGCUGGUCUGAGAGGAUGGUCAGCCACACUGGGACUGAGACACUGCCCAGACUCCUACGGGAGGCUGCAGUCGAGAAUCUUUCGCAAUGGGGGAAACCCUGACGAAGCGACGCCGUGUGCGGGAUGAAGGCUCUAGGGUUGUAAACCGCUGUCACAAGGGACGAAACACUCUGGUGGUAAUAUCGCCAGGACUUGACGGUACCUUGAAAGGAAGCCCCGGCUAACUCCGUGCCAGCAGCCGCGGUAAUACGGAGGGGGCAAGCGUUGUUCGGAUUUAUUGGGUGUAAAGGGUGUGUAGGCGGCAUGGUAAGUCAGAUGUGAAAUCUCUGGGCUCAACCCAGAAACUGCAUUUGAUACUGCUGAGCUAGAGUACCAAAGAGGCAAAUGGAAUUCUUGGUGUAAGAGUGAAAUCUGCAGAUAUCAAGAAGAACACCAGUUAGCGAAGGCGAUUUGCUGGGUGGAUACUGACGCUGAAACACGAAAGCUUAGGGAGCGAACGGAUUAGAUACCCCGGUAGUCCUAGCCGUAAACGAUGGACACUAGGUGUUGGGAGGGUUACCUCUCAGUGCCGCAGCUAACGCAUUAAGUGUCCCACUGGGGAGUACGGUCGCAAGGCUGAAACUCAAAGGAAUUGACGGGGACCCGCGCAAACGGUGGAGCAUGUGGUUUAAUACGAAGANACGCGUGGAACCUNCCAGGGCUUGACAUCUAGUGGAAAGGAUUUGGAAACAUUUCCCCCUCUUCGGAGUCGCUAGACAGGUGUUGCAUGGCCGUCGUCAGCUCGUGUCGUGAGAUGUUGGGUUAAGUCCCGCAACGAGCGCAACCCCUACUUCUAGUUGCCAGCACAUAAUGGUGGGCACUCUAGUGGAACUGCCGCAGAUAAUGUGGAGGAAGGUGGGGACGACGUCAGGUCAGUAUGGCCCUUACGCCCUGGGCUACNCACGUGCUACAAUGGCCGGUACAAAGGGUUGCCAAACCGCGAGGUGGAGCCAAUCCCAAAAAACCGGUCCCAGUUCGGAUUGUAGGCUGCAAUUCGCCUACAUGAAGCUGGAAUCGUUAGUAAUCCCGUAUCAGCCACGACGGGGUGAAUACGUUCCCGGGUCUUGUACACACCGCCCGUCAAGCCACCCGAGUUGAGUGCACCCGAAGAUGGUCGUUUAACCGUAAGGAGAACAUCAUCGAAGGUGUGUUUGGUAAGGGGAACUAAGUCGUAACAAGGUAACC
rnacentral:rRNA from 1 species